GGGAUUGCCCUAGUAACGGCGAGUGAAGCGGCAACAGCUCAAAUUUGAAAUCUGGCGCAAGCCCGAGUUGUAAUUUGUAGAGGAUGCUUCUAGGUAGCGACCGGUCUAAGUUCCUUGGAACAGGACGUCAUAGAGGGUGAGAAUCCCGUAUGUGACCGGCCCGCACCUUCUACGUAGCUCCUUCGACGAGUCGAGUUGUUUGGGAAUGCAGCUCUAAAUGGGAGGUAAAUUUCUUCUAAAGCUAAAUACCGGCCAGAGACCGAUAGCGCACAAGUAGAGUGAUCGAAAGAUGAAAAGCACUUUGGAAAGAGAGUUAAAAAGCACGUGAAAUUGUUGAAAGGGAAGCGCUCACAACCAGACUUCUGGGCGGUGUUCCGCCGGUCUUCUGACCGGUCUACUCACCGUCCCGAGGCCAACAUCAUCUGGGACCGCUGGAUAAGACCUUAGGAAUGUAGCUCCCCCUCGGGGGAGUGUUAUAGCCUGUGGUGAUGCAGCGCGUCUCGGGUGAGGUCCGCGCUUCGGCAAGGAUGUUGGCGUAAUGGUUGUCAGCGGCCCGUCUUGAAACACGGACCAAGGAGUCUAACAUCUAUGCGAGUGUUCGGGUGUCAAACCCCUACGCGUAAUGAAAGUGAACGGAGGUGGGAAGCGUAAGCUGCACCAUCGACCGAUCCUGAUGUCCUCGGAUGGAUUUGAGUAAGAGCAUAGCUGUUGGGACCCGAAAGAUGGUGAACUAUGCCUGAAUAGGGUGAAGCCAGAGGAAACUCUGGUGGAGGCUCGCAGCGGUUCUGACGUGCAAAUCGAUCGUCAAAUUUGGGUAUAGGGGCGAAAGACUAAUCGAACCAU
rnacentral:rRNA from 1 species